rnacentral:rRNA from 1 species
GAGCACGCGCGUGUGGCAUAUCAAUAAGCGGAGGAAAAGAAACUAACAAGGAUUCCCUUAGUAACGGCGAGUGAAGCGGGAAGAGCUCAAAUUUGAAAUCUUCAAGGUUCUACCUUGACGAAUUGUAGUUUAUAGAAGUGUUUUCUGUUAGUGGAGUGGCAAAAGUUCUUUGGAAUAGGACAUCAUAGAGGGUGAGAAUCCCGUAUUUUGGUCAUUCCUCCUAGCGUUGUGAUACACUUUCAACGAGUCGGAUUGUUUGGGAAUGCAGUCCAAAAUGGGUGGUAAAUUUCAUCUAAAGCUAAAUAUUGGCGAGAGACCGAUAGCGAACAAGUACCGUGAGGGAAAGAUGAAAAGAACUUUGAAAAGAGAGUUAAACAGUACGUGAAAUUGUCAAAAGGGAAGCGUUUGACACCAGUGUUGUUUUUCCGAAAAUCAAUUACGAAUGUUUUGUUUUUAAGGAGUUAUGACUUCAUCGGCUUGCUCCUUUCUUUAUGAAACUUUCUUAAUGCACUUUUCGGUUAACAAGUCAACAUCAAUUUCUUUUGUUGUAAAAGGGUAUGAGGAAGGUGGCUUUCUUUUCGGAGAAAGUGUUUAUAGCCUUGUGCCUCUGCAAUCGGAGAGAUUGAGGUCUGCAGCGUAGAUCCUUCGGGGUUAGAUACGUUUGUGCUAAGUUAUAGCUAUUCAUAGACAACUUGUUGACUAUGUUUAGUCUUGUAGCUUACUCGCUUAUGCUAUUUUACCUACGCUUAGGAUGUUGAGUAGCGACAUACGCAC